GAUCAUGGCUCAGGAUGAACGCUAGCUACAGGCUUAACACAUGCAAGUCGAGGGGCAGCAUGUUGGUUGCUGCAACCAACGAUGGCGACCGGCGCACGGGUGAGUAACGCGUAUCCAACCUUCCCUAUAGUAGGGGAUAGCCCGGCGAAAGUCGGAUUAAUACCCUAUGUUGUAUUUAGAGGACAUCUGAAGAGUACCAAAGGUUUACCGCUAUAGGAUGGGGAUGCGUCUGAUUAGGUAGUCGGCGGGGUAACGGCCCACCGAGCCUUCGAUCAGUAGGGGUUCUGAGAGGAAGGUCCCCCACAUUGGAACUGAGACACGGUCCAAACUCCUACGGGAGGCAGCAGUGAGGAAUAUUGGUCAAUGGGCGAGAGCCUGAACCAGCCAAGUAAGCGUGCAGGAUGACGGCCCUAUGGGUUGUAAACUGCUUUUAUACAGGGAUAAAGUCGGGGACGUGUCCCCGUUUGUAGGUACUGUAUGAAUAAGGACCGGCUAAUUCCGUGCCAGCCGCUGC
rnacentral:rRNA from 1 species